CGGGGGAGGCGGGAUCCUGGGCUGUGUCCCGGCGCCCUGUGCUCCGGAGCCUGCGCUGUUGGAUUCGCGCUCCCGGCCGAGUAGCCCCCU
rfam:Canis lupus familiaris chromosome 22, whole genome shotgun sequence.